CCGGCACAGAGGUGGCCUUGGUUCCUCACCAGAUGGUGUAGCCACCAUCUGAACCACCCAUGAAGAAGUUCCCCUUCCGCUGAGUUACGAGGACGUUGGCUCCCUGCAUGACUGCAAGCUGAGCAGCAUUGGGAGGGCAUCCAGGAGGUGGAGGAGGAAUGUUGCCAGCAGUAGCCCCAGCUCCAAAUCUGGCACCUGCAUCAUACCCUCCUUCCACCAGCACUGUGGAGCCAGGUGGAUAGAUGGGACCGACUGGAUAAUAAGCCAUGGGGAUUGUGGAACCUAAAGGCCCAACAGCCACAGACUGGGCCAUGGGAAGAUACAGAGAGGCUCCAGGAAAUGCGGCUGACAUGGUGGGGACUGUGGCAGCCCCUGGGUGCACAAAGCUCGGACGAUAGAGCUAGAAGAGGCAGAAGAGAAGGCAAAAUGUUACUUUAUGACAUUCCUAUUUGAGAUCUCUUUAAUGAGCUAAUUCUUAAUUCUCCUUAUGCAGGUUAUACUUUUUGUAAGAUUAUACAAGUUGCCUUUCCACUGGCCUUCAAUAUUCUCCUGGAUCACUUUCUGCUAUAGCUAAUGUUGGGCUCACAGAACGCAAAUUCAUCUUCUGCACCUUAGCCUGUGCCAAAUAACACAAAAUCAUCAAAUAAUGCACUUUCAACUCCGACAAAAAUUGCCAAAUUAUAUAGUGUUUUAGAUUAUUCAUGUUAGCAUUUGUGAAGAGUAAAUAUGUGAAGUCAGAUUUAGCUAAGGACUAAAGGACCACCCUAAGAGUAUUCCCAGCUAGUUCAAAUCUGGCAAACUGGAAGCACCUCUGAGUAGGCAGGUGGAGCAUCGGUAUAGGGUGGAGCCUGAGGAAGAUGCAAGGUCUGAGGGUAUACUGGAUUCCCAGGAGGCUGCACAGGGUAGGUUGGCUGUGUUGGAUAUUGACCUGAAAGACAAGAAAAAAAUGAAGGUUGCCUACUACACAGAGCUACCAAAAUGAGGCAGGUCAUAUCGGGUAGCUAACUUAGUGGGAGCAAGCAGAAGGGGAUUUGCAAAUAGUCUGCCCCAGAGGGCCUGAUUCCUGGAACUAAGAAAAUAUGCAUUGUCUUUGCACCCUUAAAAUGGAAGGUGCUGGAUUCUAACGAGACAAGAAAGGCACUGCUCACUGCUCCUACUAACAUACCGAAGUAAGGGGUUAAGUCUACCUGGGCCCAAGUUCCCUCCGGAAUGCAGGACAGGUCUGGGGUUCUGGCCUGCUGCUGUUCUGGCUUAUCAAGGGUGCCUCUGCUCUAGGUAGUCUCCACAGCCUGUCUACAACCAGCCCAGACUUCGUGGGUAACAGCAGUUCUGAUUUUCCUUACAGAUUACUAUUCAAGGUCGACUUCCAAACAAAGGGUGUGAAUGAUGGAAGUGAACCGUGAGACUGGGAAAAGGGUGCAGGGCUGAGGGGUGAGGAGGAAUAUCCUCACUGGAAAAGCGGG
rnacentral:lncRNA from 1 species